GUGAACGCUGGCGGUAGGCCUAACACCUGCAAGUCGAACGGCAGCACAGUAAGAGCUUGCUCUUACGGGUGGCGAGUGGCGGACGGGUGAGGAAUACAUCGGAAUCUACUUUUUCGUGGGGGAUAACGUAGGGAAACUUACGCUAAUACCGCAUACGACCUACGGGUGAAAGCAGGGGAUCUUCGGACCUUGCGCGAUUGAAUGAGCCGAUGUCGGAUUAGCUAGUUGGCGGGGUAAAGGCCCACCAAGGCGACGAUCCGUAGCUGGUCUGAGAGGAUGAUCAGCCACACUGGAACUGAGACACGGUCCAGACUCCUACGGGAGGCAGCAGUGGGGAAUAUUGGACAAUGGGCGCAAGCCUGAUCCAGCCAUACCGCGUGGGUGAAGAAGGCCUUCGGGUUGUAAAGCCCUUUUGUUGGGAAAGAAAAGCAGCAGGUUAAUACCCCGCUGUUCUGACGGUACCCAAAGAAUAAGCACCGGCUAACUUCG
rnacentral:rRNA from 1 species